AAAAGCAAAUCUAUCAACUGUAACGCUGAAGUGUGAUGGGGAAAAAGUUCUACGGAACUUCAACUUUGCUGAAGCCAUGCUUUCAAGAAAAACUUCUAGGGCUAAUCUUGUAGGUGCCUGUACUCAGAACCGACACUGGUAGUCAAGGAGAGAAUCCUAAGGUGAGCGAGAUAACUAUGGUUAAGGAACUCGGCAAUGACCCCGUAACUUCGGAAUAAGGGGAGGUGUAGCGAUACACCCUCAGGAAAUAGGUCCAGGCAACUGUUUACCAAAAACACAGGUCUCUGCUAAAGCGUAAGCUGAUGUAUAGGGGCUGACGCCUGCCCAGUGCUGGAAGGUUAAGAGGAGAUGUUAGUUGGACGCAAGUCGAUAACAACGAAGCUUCGAAUUGAAGCCCCAGUGAACGGCGGCCGUAACGAUAACGGUCCUAAGGUAGCGAAAUUCCUUGUCAGGUAAGUUCUGACCCGCACGAAAGGCGUAAUGAUCUGGAUACUGUCUCAACCAUAGACUCGGUGAAAUCUUAAUACCUGUGAAAAUGCAGGUUACCCGCUACAGGACAAAAAGAUCCCGUGGAGCUUUACUGCAACUUGAUAUUGGAAUCAGAUGUAUCAUGUAGAGGAUAGGUGGGAGACUUUGAAGUUAGGACGUCAGUUCUAAUGGAGUCAUCCUUGGAAUACCACCCUUGAUAUGUUUGAUUUCUAACCUGCGCCCAUUAUCUGGGUGGAGGACAGUGUCUGGUGGGCAGUUUGACUGGGGCGGUCGCCUCCCAAAGAGUAACGGAGGCGCCCAAAGGUUCCCUCAGAAUGGUUGGAAAUCAUUCGUAGAGUGUAAUGGCAGAAGGGAGCUUAACUGCGAGACCUACAAGUCAAGCAGAUGCGAAAGCAGGGCAUAGUGAUCUUGCGAUCCCGAAUGGAAGGGUCGUUGCUUAACGGAUAAAAGUUACCCCGGGGAUAACAGGCUGAUCCCACCCAAUAGUUCAUAUAUACGGUGGGGUUUGGCACCUCGAUGUCGGCUCGUCGUAUCCUGGAGGUGGAAUCGCUUCCAAGGGUUGGGCUGUUCGCCCAUUAAAACGGCACGCGAGCUGGGUUCAGAACGUCGUGAGACAGUUCGGUCUCUAUCCGUAGUGGGCGUUAGAAAAUUGAGGAGUGCUUUUCCUAGUACGAGAGGACCGGAAAGGACGAACCGAUGGUGUAUCUUUUGUCACGCCAGUGGCAGUGCAGAGUAGCUAUGUUCGGAAGGGAUAAUCGCUGAAGGCAUCUAAGCGAGAAGCCCUCUCCAAGAUGAGUUUUCUUUAUCUUCAAGAUAUAAGAUCCCUUGUAGACGACAAGGUUGAUAGGUUAGAUGUGUAAGCAUAGUGAUAUGUUGAGCUGACUAAUACUAAUAGAUC
rnacentral:rRNA from 1 species